UUUAUGUAGUUGUUCAAAAGGCUAUUGAUAAGAUUCUCCAGUAAACGCUGAUAAAGAUGAGUCAGCAGAGGGGUGGAAGGAAUGUUUCCUUGUGAUAGGAAACUGACUUAGGGCCCAGAAACAAAGGCUGGGGAUAAACAGGCACUUAUCUCUGCUGGGGUGGGUGGCAAGCUGCUGCAGCACCGGGGAGACAGGAGUGAUGGGAUUGGCUCCAAGGAGCCAAGAAUGUGCACUUGGCUUAGAAUAAGGAAAUGAGUGUAUUAAAAAAGCAGUUUCAAGGUGCUGCAGUUUAGGAGCGAGUAAAAAGGAAGCUGGAAUAAACGUCAGAUAAGAUACCAUCUUGAUGAGGACUGGACUUUUUUACUCAAAGGGAGACUCACUUCAAGGAAAGAAGUUGAAGAGGAGAUGGUACCAUGUGAAGUCAUUGCUGCUGUCAAACCCAGAAGAGAUGUCCUGCAUCAUCACUGACACGUCUUCAGGCCUCUCUACUGCUGAUUACCAAGUCAGUGGAGCUCACGUGAUGGUGAAGGGGGACGCUGGAUAAUUGUCAGAGACUCAAGACAUUGGCACAGACCCUCUCUGCAUGAGCACAUGACACCACCAAUGGGAAAGAGCAGGAGUUCUGGGAAGAUAUCCAAGGGACCUGAGGGAAGCAAAGUUUCUUCAGACAGCUCAGAGUAGGCUGUGGCCUCCUGAACCUUCUGUCCCACAGUUGGUAAGUAGUGGUGUUAAUGCUCAUUCCAGACAGACAAGACCUUACCUCUCCCCACACCAGCCAUUCUGAAUCCAUCUGAGGUUUUCAUUUAUUUUUCACUUUGAACAAACAUUCUGUGCUAAAUGAACAGGUGCACAUGGGCUGUCUGGUUU
rnacentral:lncRNA from 12 species